ensembl:lncRNA
AGGAGUGUAUGACAGUCCCUGUUUCUCCACAUCCUAGCCAGCAUUUGUUGUUGUCAAUGUUUCAAGAUAUUGGCCAUUCUAAUAGGGUGGAGAAGCCUGGCUCUGGGCCUGAGUUCCCUGCAAGGUACUGGAGCUGGUGUUUAUAAACCUGUCCCUUCAGUACUUGGAAGACAUCCCAUACUUGUCUGGGAGAAUCCUGGACACCUCAUCUCUCAGAGGACAUCUGCAAAGCAACUUCCACUUUACUGAAGAUUCUUUAAGCAGUUUACUCAUCCUGGAUAUUUAGAGGCAUUUAAAGAGUGAAGGAGGAGAAAGAUAUAAGCCUCCAGACACUGAUGAGACACUUUCCAUACCUUGACAGCUAUAGAUUAGAAUAAAGCGUG